GACGAACGCUGGCGGCGUGCUUAACACAUGCAAGUCGAACGAUGAAGAAAAGAAUCGAAGCUUCGGCAGAAAUUCAUUUCGGAUUAGUGGCAGACGGGUGAGUAACGCGUGAGCAACCUACCUCUUACAAAGGGAUAGCCUCGGGAAACCGGGAUUAAUACCAUAUAACAUUGCGACGAAGCAUUUCGAUGCAAUCAAAGCUAUGGCGGUAAGAGAUGGGCUCGCGUCCCAUUAACCGGAUGGUGAGGUAACGGCUCACCAUAGUGACGAUGGGUAACCGGCCUGAGAGGGUGAACGGUCACACUGGAACUGAGACACGGUCCAGACUCCUACGGGAGGCAGCAGUGGGGAAUAUUGCACAAUGGAGGGAACUCUGAUGCAGCGACGCCGCGUGAGUGAUGAAGGAAUUCGUUUCGUAAAACUCUGUUCUAUGGGAAGAAAAGGACUGUACCAUAGGAGAAAGCUCCGGCUAAAUACGUG
rnacentral:rRNA from 1 species